rnacentral:rRNA from 1 species
UACGGAGGGUGCAAGCGUUAUCCGGAUUCACUGGGUUUAAAGGGUGCGUAGGUGGGUCUGUAAGUCCGUGGUGAAAUCUCCGAGCUUAACUUGGAAACUGCCAUGGAUACUAUAGGUCUUGAAUACUGUGGAGGUCAGCGGAAUAUGUCAUGUAGCGGUGAAAUGCUUAGAUAUGACAUAGAACACCAAUUGCGAAGGCAGCUGGCUACACAAAUAUUGACACUGAUGCACGAAAGCGUGGGGGAUCAAAACAGG